ACGGAGGGUGCGAGCGUUAAUCGGAAUCACUGGGCGUAAAGCGCACGUAGGCGGUGUCGUAAGUCGGAUGUGAAAGCCCUCGGCUCAACCGGGGAACUGCAUUCGAUACUGCGAUGCUUGAGUGCCGGAGAGGUUGACGGAAUUCCAGGUGUAGGGGUGAAAUCCGUAGAUAUCAGGAGGAACACCGGUGGCGAAGGCGGCCUACUGGACGACAAUUGACGCUGAGGUGCGAAAGCGUGGGGAUCAAACAG
rnacentral:rRNA from 1 species